rnacentral:rRNA from 1 species
AACGGACGAGAAGCUUGCUUCUCUGAUGUUAGCGGCGGACGGGUGAGUAACACGUGGAUAACCUACCUAUAAGACUGGGAUAACUUCGGGAAACCGGAGCUAAUACCGGAUAAUAUUUUGAACCGCAUGGUUCAAAAGUGAAAGACGGUCUUGCUGUCACUUAUAGAUGGAUCCGCGCUGCAUUAGCUAGUUGGUAAGGUAACGGCUUACCAAGGCAACGAUGCAUAGCCGACCUGAGAGGGUGAUCGGCCACACUGGAACUGAGACACGGUCCAGACUCCUACGGGAGGCAGCAGUAGGGAAUCUUCCGCAAUGGGCGAAAGCCUGACGGAGCAACGCCGCGUGAGUGAUGAAGGUCUUCGGAUCGUAAAACUCUGUUAUUAGGGAAGAACAUAUGUGUAAGUAACUGUGCACAUCUUGACGGUACCUAAUCAGAAAGCCACGGCUAACUACGUGCCAGCAGCCGCGGUAAUACGUAGGUGGCAAGCGUUAUCCGGAAUUAUUGGGCGUAAAGCGCGCGUAGGCGGUUUUUUAAGUCUGAUGUGAAAGCCCACGGCUCAACCGUGGAGGGUCAUUGGAAACUGGAAAACUUGAGUGCAGAAGAGGAAAGUGGAAUUCCAUGUGUAGCGGUGAAAUGCGCAGAGAUAUGGAGGAACACCAGUGGCGAAGGCGACUUUCUGGUCUGUAACUGACGCUGAUGUGCGAAAGCGUGGGGAUCAAACAGGAUUAGAUACCCUGGUAGUCCACGCCGUAAACGAUGAGUGCUAAGUGUUAGGGGGUUUCCGCCCCUUAGUGCUGCAGCUAACGCAUUAAGCACUCCGCCUGGGGAGUACGACCGCAAGGUUGAAACUCAAAGGAAUUGACGGGGACCCGCACAAGCGGUGGAGCAUGUGGUUUAAUUCGAAGCAACGCGAAGAACCUUACCAAAUCUUGACAUCC